rnacentral:rRNA from 1 species
AGUGAACGCUGGCGGUAGGCCUAACACAUGCAAGUCGACCGGCAGCACAGUAAGAGCUUGCUCUUACGGGUGGCGAGUGGCGGACGGGUGAGGCAUACAUCGGAAUCUACUUUUUCGUGGGGGAUAACGUAGGGAAACUUACGCUAAUACCGCAUACGACCUACGGGUGAAAGCAGGGGAUCUUCGGACCUUGCGCGAUUGAAUGAGCCGAUGUCGGAUUAGCUAGUUGGCGGGGUAAAGGCCCACCAAGGCGACGAUCCGUAGCUGGUCUGAGAGGAUGAUCAGCCACACUGGAACUGAGACACGGUCCAGACUCCUACGGGAGGCAGCAGUGGGGAAUAUUGGACAAUGGGCGCAAGCCUGAUCCAGCCAUACCGCGUGGGUGAAGAAGGCCUUCGGGUUGUAAAGCCCUUUUGUUGGGAAAGAAAAGCAGCAGGUUAAUACCCCGCUGUUCUGACGGUACCCAAAGAAUAAGCACCGGCUAACUUCGUG